GACAGGGGCCUCAAGCGUUAGGCGGAAUCACUGGGCUUAAAGCGUGUGUAGGCGGAUCGUUAAGUGUCUUGUGAAAUCCCACGGCUCACCCGUGGAACUGCUGGGCAUACUGGCGAUCUUGGGCCAACUAGGGGCAGCCGGAACAAGCGGUGGAGCGGUGAAAUGCGUAGAUAUCGCUUGGAACGCCGAAGGUGAAAACAGGCUGCUGGGGUUGUGCCGACGCUGAGACACGAAAGCCAGGGGAGCAAACGGG
rnacentral:rRNA from 1 species